AAAAUGCAUGGACUAUUCUCUUUGGCGUUAGUCGCAUUGGGUUGUCUUUUGCCUUGUAACAUUGCACAGCAAUGCUGGCGUGGAAACGUCGUAUAUGCAUGCUUGUUUGUCCAUCAACAAACACGAGAUUGCAAAGAAUUCAUGUUGGGUCAGAGCUACAAUAUAAUGUUCUCUGAGCAAAACGUUUACAAUUCUGAUCACUGGAUUAGCGUAUGUGUUCCGUGCGAAACAGAAUCAACAAAUACGGGAGUUUCCUGCAGACUGAAUAGAACAUACACACAGGAAGGUCAAACAUUCAACGUACACGGUGCCAUGAUUUUUGUAUAUGCCACCACAAGCCAAGGUGGUGCAACAGUAUCAUUUGAUCAUGUCACGAAUGCAAGCACAACAGUCGCCACUCGUGUUCACCUUGAAGAAAGAUCAGAAGGAAACACAAUAGGCCCAUUUUACGUUGAUGCCAUGGAGCUGCCAGUAAGGUUGAAGCGACCACGUUGUGUGGACGAUUCCGGACAUCGAUGUGACAUCCAGUUAGGAGAAAGAAGACCGUUUGCCUUUGCCCACUACGUCCUCGAGAAUUCACAGCCCUGAUGUAUGGUUACGUACAGACACUAGACGACUUGCGGACUAUUGAACACUUGCAUAUCAAUUUAGAAGCAGACCAGGAUACAUGACUUGAUGGGUGCCGUGGUGAAAUACGCUAAAAGGAUAUUUCUUUCUUUCGUGUGCUCUUUCUUGAUCUUUCGUCUAGAGCGCAUCCUAUCAAUAUGUUGUUAAUGGCGUCUAUAUCCAAGUACGAAUAAGACAUUGAACUGCUAAACUCAUCGGCAAUCACUAAACUAUCAUCUACAGUAAGAUGCUAUAUACUUGUUUUAAAAGACGAUGGAUCAACGAAACUGUUUGCGUUCUGAAGAUUUAACCGCAAGUUUACAAGAGCGUAUCAAGAGGUAUCCAGUAACAUCCGAAUGGUCCAGUGAUCUGCAGUUAGCAAAACCACGAGGUGGACAAAUUUCUUUGUUGAUACUAACUAUAACUGUUCAUCUUUAGAGAUGUCUUUAUCUUUGUAAUGUGCAAAAAAAAAACACCUUAGAAAUAUUUAAUUAUUUAAAUAUACACAUAUAGUAUAAUGUGCAAAUACUACACAUGCGCAAACAUGUAUAACAGUUUCUGAUUGUAUUAUGGGGCAAUGGCCUUUAUACUGAAUAAAAAUCGUCUUGUCUUGUCAUAACUGUUCAUCUGAAUGGUGAUGACAUCCAGUAUGUAAUAUGAUCUUACAAUUCUUAAAAUAAUAAAGUAGUCGCCAUACU